GUAGGUGGCAAGCGUUGUCCGGAAUUAUUGGGCGUAAAGCGCGCGCAGGCGGUUCUUUAAGUCUGAUGUGAAAGCCCACGGGCUCAACCGUGAGGUCAUUGGAAACUGGAGAACUUGAGUACAGAAGAGGAAAGCGGAAUUCCACGUGUAGCGGUGAAAUGCGUAGAGAUGUGGAGGAACACCAGUGGCGAAGGCGGCUUUCUGGUCUGUAACUGACGCUGAGGCGCGAAAGCGUGGGGAGCAAACGGGAUUAGAUACCCUGGUAGUCCACGCCGUAAACGAUGAGUGCUAAGUGUUAGGGGGUUUCCGCCCCUUAGUGCUGCAGCUAACGCAUUAAGCACUCCGCCUGGGGAGUACGGCCGCAAAGGCUG
rnacentral:rRNA from 1 species